UGGAGCGGAAUAGUGUGGUUAACUAUUGGGUGUACAUAUUUUUAUAGAAUGUAGGGAACUAUCAGCCAGAGAAGUAUUUAAAUCACAGCCAACUUUUAACUCCGCCCGUAACUUUUCAAAGGUUAAUAACAUUUAUAUUGACGUAAAUCGCCAAACGGCAGACUCUGCAAAUCGGUUUUCAUGUAAUUGACAAUGCGUUAGAGGCAAAACACAUUUAAAAGCAAGAUUCAUGCAAUUAACAAUUCUCCCGUGUAUCAACACUUUGGAUCAGGAAAUUAUAGUGCCAGUUGAAGCGGUAAUGAGGGGCGUGACUUGGCCACUUGCACAAUGCGAGCUGCUAACUGGACAAAGACUGCACUUUGUACCCGCCGGGCGUAUUCCGGUUCCAGAUUCCAUCACAGUGGGCUCAGGCCAUUCCAAUUUUGAUCUGAUCGCGGGUUGAGAGAGUUCAAGCAAUACACCGCCGCGGUUAGUACAGGUUCCCGUCAACUGUCUUAUGAAUAUCAAUUGAUUGCUGACGGGACAUCGAACGAAAUCCAGCGAAAAUAUAUACACUCGCCGUCUCAAUUUUUUCAUUCUGAGUCAAUCUCAUUAAUAGGAUAAGUAUAAGGUUUGUAUUGAAAUAUGUUGAGUGCUUGUUUAGAAAUGUGGUAAAAAUAAGAAAACCUAAAAUUGGUUGGUAAUCAGAAAAAAAAUCCCUACAAUUAAGUUUCUUAAAUGGUAAUUUAAAUUAUCAUGAUUGGUAAGAGAAGCGAAUGGCUUUCGGUGCAAUGUUGCACAUUGCUAGAUGUAGGCAUUUGACGAAUGAGCACCGAUUACUUUUAACCCAUGAAGCACCAUUUAGUCCCAGCUAUGUGACAUGCAUCGAUUACAGAAACUACUUUCCAGAUACUUCCCAGCACUAACCAAAGCCAUAUGAACAAGUCAGUUACUGCAGUUUAGGUGGCUUUUUGAAUGUCAUGGGCAAUAAACUGGCCAUGGCUAUGGUGAUGGCGGUAACGAUGGCGAUGCCGAUGGACACGUAAGACUUGGGCAACUGGCUGGCGUUGACAAAAAUGUGCCGCUUUAUUGCCGAUGCCAUUGCCUCAGCCAGCGUGAAAUUCGCUGCUGUCGCAACCGGUGAGUUGGCGUUCGUAGUUCGCUGUGUGGGUCAGUGGCACGCUUUCCGCGUUGGCCUCGCCCGGAGGCAUAGCAUCCGCGAGGUGUGGCGGCGGCACCGGGCGUUUGACUUGCGAUUUCGCUGUUUAAUUUGCAUAAUAUAUAAAAACGCUUGGGACCACGCUUCUGCAGAGGGAUGGCCAUCAGCCACAACCACUUAGCUCGGAAGAGGAGACGGAUCCCACUUAUGUAAGCGGCACGACGGAGCACAGUGCAGAGAAGAAGAUGGAAGAUACGGGAACAAAAAAACGAGGCGGCAACUCGUACUGGAACUUGUGCACACGCUCUGCGGGCGUCAUCAGCGGGCCAUCAAAAGCCAUCUUACGGUCGCAGUAUGGACCCAGCCACGGUCCUGCUAUCAGAUUGGGUUCUUAAUCGCCAUCGAACCCCUCCGACAUGUCGUUUUGGGGGCUAGGUGCCUGCACGCUAUUGUUUACACGGUUGAGUUCUGCAGCAGGUUGCAUUUUUGAAAUCAAUUAGAGCGGCUACACCCGCAAGCCAAGGCACAUGCACUCCAGCCAGAGCAAUACCGAAUAGCAAAAACGGCGUAAAUAGUUUGAUAAGCUUGCUGAUUUUAUCGCACUCACCCCAGGGGCGGGUGAGUAUGUAGAUUACACGGCGGUGACCGGGUUUUUCGUGGCAAUUGCUCGCUUAGAAAACCUAAUUAAGUGGAAAAUCGAUGCCAGGGGACCAAGAGCUCCACGGCGGAAUCGCGGAUGACGCAUUUUUGGAUGAUAAGCGUGUGUCCAUGAUGAUCCAUAUAUUAAAGCCGACAAGUGAGUCACGGACUAUGAAUUUAAUUUUCAGCAAUAUGGGACCCAUUUUUUUUUAGAUAGGCUUCUUGUGAUAGCCAGCAAUCAGAGAAUUGAGUUGGCCAGCUGUCCUCUUAUCAGCGAACCCCAUUGGCCGCAUCCGAUGGGGCAUCGGCUAAUUGGAUUUGAUAAGCCGGCUAUCAACCUCUGUCUUUAAACCAGUGGAAGUCCCGUCACGUUUCGGGCGAUUAUACAAUGCGGUUUUGCCUUUGGGACAGUACUAGCUGUUUGGGUUUCUAAUUAGGAGGGGGUUUGUUAUCUAAUCACAGUCACUCGGCAAGGCCACGCACACACUCGGACACUCACUUGGUCAAUCAGCGCGGGUCCCGCCUUCUUGGCCCGUCGGAUCGGAAUUGAAGUCGAAUUUGUAGUCGGCUAAUCGGUCAUUUGGCAACUGAGGCGGACGAUCGGUUGUUCCGUUUACGCGAUGCUCCACCUCGCACGCUUUUAAGCCAACUGACGACUGGUCGGAUGUGCGUCUGAACCUUAUCAGGCAGCGGCGGCGAAAACCGUCAACAUCGAAACCUCAACCUCGGCGACCCGACGAAGUUGAAUUGAUCAAUGCGCUCACGAGUACAACGAUUAUACGGCUUAAGUGUGAAUCACGCCAAGUACCUACUGGGCGGUUAUGGUAUUUGGUAUCUGGUAUCGGGUAUUGGGUAUCGGGUAUCCACCAUUCACAGGGCUUUUCACAGGCAAAAGUAAAAAAGCGGCGCGAGAGUGGUCGAGAGCCCAGAGGCAGACACAAGCCGCUACGUGAACCGUUGUCCAGCGAGUCAGAAAUACAACUGACGCACCGCUCCACUCCGGCGAUCAAAGAUGGUCAGUCUUCGUACAUCGCAAAUUAUGUAUUUAUUCACAGCGGCGGUGGAGAAACUAGAGCCACGCUGCAUAGACUUCGACAGUAUUGCUCAAUAAAGUUAUUGCGAAAAUAGCUCUGAAGUCUUAAUCCCCUAACUAUAACAAACCCGAAAGUCGGGUGAUCGAGGGUUCUUAAACCUUAUAUAAUCCGAAGUCAAAACAAGAGAAUGCUGUAGUCGAGUUCCCGACUAUCAGAUACCCGUUACUCAGGUAGUGGGAGUGCGAACGAAAAAUUUUAACACCUUCUGCAGUAUCGGUAAAAAUUCGGAAAAAUUGGGCAAAAUUGGUCAGACCAGAUCGAUUCCGUUUACUAUAAUAUAUUCUAUUAAGACACAACAAAACAACCCUAUGUGGUAUGGCCUUGUUUUUUUUACCGCUGGUGUAUGCCAGUAAGCCAAUGGAGCGAAAUGAGAGAAAACCACGCAGGGAGAUUAAAGCGGCGGUUUCUGUGUCUGCGUUUCUGCUCUCUGUGGCAAGUCGUCAUCUUCUGCGGCACAGUUUCUUUCUGAUGUAACAGCGGUUGACGCGACUACUUGUUGACCAGUUGGCAAUUUCCAUUUUCAUUCAUGGCUGCGAUUUGGCUAGCUGGCCAGUUGGCUGUGGGCCACUAGGGUACCGUCGAAAUCACUUUCGCUUUCUGAGCCUCUCUAUUUUAGCGGUUGCGUCGAUGGCUUCGCCGCUAUCCGUGAUGGCCACCCUUGUUUACGGGGUUGCAGACGCCUGGCAGACGGAUUGUGGCACACAUCUUGCCAACGGGUGCAUUUGACGCUUGCGAAAGGGGAGCCCAUGCAACAAGUGCGCGGAAGUCUCCGGGCAACCGAACGGAAAACAGGAAAAACCCCGAUCGGUGCAGAGAGACAACGGUUCGGAGUCGAUAAACCGUUACCUGCAUGCCCAAGGCCUAAUUUCUGGACUGGCCAGUCGGCUGGUUGCCCCAAAACUUGGCCAACUGGAAAUACGAUUUUAUAUUCUCCGCGUUCGCUACUUUCUUUUCGAAUCGAUUUUGUCGAUAUCUGUUCUACACAGCCAGAUACCCUUGUCGGUCAUUAGUUCCUCAUCAACCCACUUUAAGGACGUGGUUAGGCGACGCUGUCAGGUUUUACUACAUUUUCGAUGGGGUGAACCACCCUUACAAGGGUUAAGUUUGGAUCUCAGUUUGACCCUUUUAUAACUUAAAAUUAUAUGUUGAAAAUACCAUUAAUGGACAUGCUGUAUAAACAGCUCCUUUCUUGUAAACUAAAGGGCACAAUAGAUUCCUCGUAAGUGUGUUGCACAGAGAUGAAAGGGAUUAGCAUCCCAGCCGAUCUGUCCAUGGCAGUUAGUCUGUCUGUGCGUAGUUCUAAUAGUUGUCACUCCUACCACGUGCUUACAAAAAUUGUCCAUGGUUAAACAAAAUUCAAUAUCGGACUAUAAGAAACCCUUUGAAACUUAAAUAAAUUAUAAAUAAAAAACAGAGCGAAUUACUUACUACAUGCUGCUUGAGCUGAAUAACUGGUGUCAAAUAGUUGCGGCACUGGACUUAUAGCGAUCUCUCUUUUUAAUUUCUAUCCUAGCUGGUUCUUUGUUUAAAAUGUUUAAUUAAAAAUGUAAAAUAAAAUCGGGUUUUUACGAGUGAUCGAACUCUCUAGAAUGCACAAAAAUGUACGUUUAAGCCUGAAUAUUUCGGCGCGAAAGCUCAUAUGCAAAACCAUAUGACCUACUAAUCGGGUCAAAGUCAGAUACUGGUAUCGAGGGUCUUGAAAAUUACUUGUAUUUGUUACAGCAAUCAAAGACAACGCAAAUUAACGCGCUUACAAAACUAAAAUAGCACCACGUAAUCCGAAAUGGAUUUCAUGGUCAAGUUGCGCAGUACCGAAGACCUACUUUGUGGGUAGAUCGGAAGAUGCAGUAUAGCUCUAUAACGCUGAUCUAAUGAUCAAACGAUAAUCCAUGCCCAGAAAUACCUUUCACAAGCCUAAAAGGUGGCACGGAUGCCAUCAAUUCAUUCUAUAUUAUAAAUUUAUAAAUAAGUGUUCACACGUUUGUAUACUUUCGUCAUAUGCAUAUGAACACGCUUGUGCUCGUAUAUUUCGGCGAUAUAGUAACGCUUCAUGAAUUACUCGUGUCAUAACUACUAAAACUGUACGUAUAUUUGUGUUAUUACCGAGAAGCGACUAGGACUGCAUAAUUAAUGUAAAAAGAAAGUACAAAUUAAUUAUUUAACGAUUGUACGCAGUUGCCUUUAUUUUAAGUGAAUUAUGAAUAUGUAAUUGCAAUUUAAAAUCACUGCGACCAAGUAGUAGAGUGUUCAAGUCCGAAUUCUAGAGGCAAAAAUUAUUGGAACAAUUUUUUGGUGAUCGAAUAAUUAAAUUAAAGGGACAAUAACUUAUUAUUAAAAUGGGUUUGAAGAAAGAACGGCAAAAGUUAAAAAAAAAAAAUGUAAAUAAUUUCAUAUAAAAAACUUUAGUUCUACAACUCUUGAAAAAUCCUCUAUUUUAGAGGAUAUACAUAUGUAUGUCGAUAGAUAAAUAUCGGCCGCAGUGUAUGUUGAAGCUAGGGACUUGUGCUAUGUUUCGGUUUCUACUUUCGAUUGAUUUUUUUUAAACACUUUUUCUUUGUUUAAAAUGUAUGGUACUUGAAAUUCUCUAACAUUGAAAAAUGACCAAAUUUCCGUGAACAAGUACAUACAAAAGUUACUCUAUUUGAUCGGAAUCGCUGAUGUUAAGUUUUAUGACGUUAAAAAGGUAUUUCGAAAUUCUAUUCACUCUUUACUAAAUUAUUUUGAUCAAAAUAGUUCAUUAACAAUACUUUUUUUUAAACAUUUUUAAGGUACUUCUUGUUCAAAAAUAUUGAAGUACCCCAAUAUCAUUUUAAAAUAUACAUAUGAAAACAAAAAGAAGCGUUAAAAAAAAGUUAUUUUAAAAGUUAAGUUAUACAUAAAGUAAAUUAUCUUUGUAACAUUUUUAAAUCGCUUAUUCGUAAUGUUGUUGUGGGCUAGGCAGUUUUGAGCGGUUCGUGGGCGUGGCAACAUGACUCAACAAACGUGCGCUACGUCUAUGUCUCUCGUAGAAGGAAGUAAACCAUUUGUAAACAAAUAAUACGAAAGUAGAUAUUACAGUUCUCCGAUUAUUUGAUACCCGUUACUCAGCUAGUGUAAAAGCAAUGAAGAAAUUUUAACACUACAAUUUUUUGGUGGUUUGUGGUCGUUAGAGUGCAAAAAGAUUUUUGGAAAAUCGAGCGAAUUUAAUGUGAAAAAAUAUCAAAACAUUUUUUAAAAGUGUGGGAUAGGCAGGUUUGAGCGGUUUGUGGGCGUGGCAAAAACUGUAUGCUUAAUCUUAACUUUUUACGAGUAACGGGUAUAAAAACAUGAAUCAUGAACACUUUUGUAAAUAGUUAUACCCGUUACUCGAGUAAAAGGGUAUACUAGAUUCGGUGAAAAAUAUGUAACAGAAGGAAGUGUUUCCGACCAUAUAAAGUAUACAAUAUAUUCUAGAUCAGGAUCAGUAGCCGAAUCGAUCUGGCCAUGUCCGGCUGUCCAUCCGCCUAUCCGUAUGAACGUCGAAAUCUCAGGAACUAUAAAAGCUAGAAAGGUGAGAUUAAGCAUGACUCCAGACACAUAGACGCAGCGCAAGUUUAUUAACUCAUGUUGCCACGCCCCCAAACCGCCCAAAACUGCCACGCCCACUCUAACGCCCACAAACGCCUACGCACUUCCACUACCUGUGUAACGGGUAUCAGAUAGUCGGGGGAAACUCGACUAUAGCGUUCUCUCUUGUUUUAUUUAAUUUCGAUUUUUUCAUUUCUCUUGCAUAUUUUUAGUCACAAUUAUGGGGACAAAGUCAGAAAUGAAGAAGCCAGAAACAGUAUAAAACAGUUAUUGGGUAAAGUACUUCUAGAUUGUGCGGGGACAGAUUAGGAUAUCUGUUUAGCCAUGCCAUUUUUAGUUUUUUAGAUAUAUGCCUGGAUUUUGUUGUUUCGUAUUUAAUAUUUUGUAGUAUUUGCAUCGGUGUUAAUAUCUUUCGUGCUUUCGUGAAAAAUAAAAAUUAAUCUAUUUAAAUUAUAUCGCGACGAUAUUUUUUACACACAAGAUAUUUCGAUUUCUGAUCUCCUCGAAAGCAAAUAAAAACGGUGGCCUUCGAUCACUGGCUUGGAUAUAUUGAGACAAAAGCGCAUGUAAAUGGCGGACCGCUUACACCUGACGGCUUCUAGUCAGGCGUUCGAUUUAUGUACAUAUGUGCACAUGUAAUUUGUUUGGCUGCUCGGGAAGGUCAGACCCACGGAAAACUGACCAAGCUGCUGAAACACACGAUAAAAGUUCUCAUCGCAGGCCCGCACUGCGUUAAUGGUAUUAAAAUGCAUUUGUAGAUACGUACAUAUGCACAUGGAUAAUUCCAAAUGCAUAGGUUACUGGUGUCAGACUUGGAUGUUUUUGCUUUUUUGCGACUUUGCUUCGGGCGUUCUAAAUCGAGGAGAAACCACUAAUACUGAGGCUUCGGCUUUCAUAACACUGUCGCGAUGAGUUUACCAAAAAGGGCAUAAAAACCACUGCAUUAGGACAAAAACAAUGAAACUAAAAUACCCAAAAGAUAGACCAGGGGGAAAAUAAAAGAAGGGACAACAUCGGGCGUUUUCUGUCGUCAGGCAAAACGAGCCUUUGAGGGGAAAAUGAAGUAAUGUGCGAAAUGUAUAGGUCUUGUCAAAGUCAGAAGAAGCAGAAAAAAAAGAUGGCUUCGAAAAGCCGAAGUUUUUGUACGCUUGCAGAUGGGAAAUUGGAGGCCACCGAAUCUAUCGGUAAUACGGGUGAUGUUAUUUGCUGGUAUAUUGUAUAAGAGUAUUUUAUUAUGGCAGCUCAAAAAAUUUUGUAGACUUGAAAACUGGAAUCGUUUGCCCAUUCUUGUCCACCAAUUUUUUUUUUUGUCCGUUACUCUCCAGUCAUUCAUUCUCAAUCAGAUUUCAAUCCUUUAAAUGACCAAAUUAAGAUCAAGAUAUAGAUUUAUAUACAUAUAUAUAGAUAUAGAUCUAUAUUAUAUCGAUCGAUCUAUCGAAUAUCGAGACGAGACGAUAGCUGUGUAUCAACAGUAGUUCUUUUCGACGAAGAAGCCACUGGAUUCGUAUUACCAUCAUGAAUUGGAUCUGUUCAUCUCACCGCAGAUAACGGAAAAUUUGUCUUUAUAGCACAGCAGCAGGUCGUGAACCUAGUUCUCUUAACUGUGAUGAUGCUGUCACUGUCCAUCUAAUGCUUGUGUCCACAAUAUGGAAACAUCAAAUGGUACGGAGAUCGUGUCCCAGCAUCAGAGACGAGAGUCUCAGGGGCCUGAGAACCCGCACAAUAUUAUUGUUCUCUUCUUUCUCUAUAAGACAAACCGGUUAAAGACUUUUCAGCAUAAUAGCAGUGCUCAAAAGUGCUUAUUAAGCAUGCGCUGCCAAAACACAUAUUAGCGAGCACCUACGAACCAGAGGACUAACACAUGCGAUUUCUAUAGCCCAGUUCUCUUGGACUUUAGACGAAUUUUUUUGUUGGCUCGAAUAAUUUGAGAGUGCUUGUGGGUGUGACCCAUACAGCCAGCAGAUUGUAUGUCUCAUCUGUGCUGAAUUAGCCACAAUCUUGUAAUUUACCGUGUAAGCGCUGGUGAAUAUUUGGAUUUGAUUUGUUUUCCGAGCAAUCUAACCAGAUAAUAUGUUUACUGAGUUCUAAGCCAGUCGCGCCACCCAAAUACCUGACAGUUACCUCUACGCAAGGUCCAAGGUGCAAAGCGAUCAAUUAGCACUUUAGCACUGCAUUUUUGCAAUCUAUUUGCAUAGGCGAAAACCCUUGACUCUUUACGAAGCUCUAGGUUUGGUUUUCUAUCCACCGGCCAGCGUUAAUUGAUGUCACACCACAUUCUCCAGGUGGUACAUUGGUACAUACACAUAUCUGAUCAAAGUAUUUAGCGCACUCGUUGGCUGACCCUAAAAAACCUGAAAAAAUGCGAAUGCAACCACAUUUCUCGACGUUUCCGCAUUCGCCGGACAGGUGAAACUUUUUGAUUGACUGACAUAGGCGACACACCAUACUGCACUCCACCAAAGGUACACAGUAGGGGAAAACAAGAUAGCGAAAUGCGUACGCAACAAUAGUAUUUAAGUCAGACCUAGCGCCAUUUCUCGAAAUAGUUAAGUAAAAAUAAACUAGUAGUCUAUAGGAGUGAGCAAUUAAAUCGAAAACGAGAAUGAUCGAUAAUAAAAUACAUCUUAUUGUUCAUAAAA